rnacentral:rRNA from 1 species
AUUGAACGCUGGCGGCAGGCCUAACACAUGCAAGUCGAGCGGCGCGGCGGACGGGUGCGUAAUGCCUGGGAAUCUGCCUGGUAGUGGGGGAUAACGUCCGGUAAUGGGCGCUAAUACCGCAUCCUAUCAGCUUAGCCUAGGUCGGAUUAGCUAGUUGGUGGGGUAAAGGCCUACCAAGGCGACGCUCCGUAACUGGUCUGAGAGGAUGAUCAGUCACACUGGAACUGAGACACGGUCCAGACUCCUACGGGAGGCAGCAGUGGGGAAUAUUGGACAAGGGGCGAAAGCCUGAUGCAGCCAUGCCGCGUGUGUGAAGAAGGUCUUCGGAUUGUAAAGCACUUUAAGUUGGGAGGCGUUACCAACAGAAUAAGCACCGGCUAACUUCGUGCCAGCAGCCGCGGUAAUUC